AGAGUUUGAUCCUGGCUCAGAACGAACGCUGGCGGCAGGCCUCAAACAUGCAAGUCUAGGGGGUGUAGCAAUACAUCACCGGCGGACGGGUGCGUAACACGUGGGAAUAUACCUUUUGGUUCGGAACAACGCAGGGAAACUUGCGCUAAUACCGAAUGUGCCCUUACGGGGAAAGAUUUAUCGCCAAAGGAUUAGCCCGCGUCCGAUUAGCUAGUUGGUGAGGUAAUGGCUCACCAAGGCUCCGAUCGGUAGCUGUUCUGAGAGGAAGAUCAGCCACACUGGGACUGAGACACGGCCCAGACUCCUACGGGAGGCAGCAGUUGGGAAUCUUGGACAAUGGGGGAAACCCUGAUCCAGCCAUGCCGCGUGAGUGAUGAAGGCCUUCGGGUUGUAAAACUCUUUCGACGGGGACGAUAAUGACGGUACCCGUAGAAGAAGCUCCGGCUAACUUCGUGCCAGCAGCCGCGGUAAUACGAAGGGGGCUAGCGUUGUUCGGAAUUACUGGGCGUAAAGCGCGCGCAGGCGGUCUUCCAAGUCAGUGGUGAAAGCCCGGAGCUCAACUCCGGAACUGCCAUUGAAACUGUAAGACUUGAGGAUGAGAGAGGUGAGUGGAAUUCCCAGUGUAGAGGUGAAAUUCGUAGAUAUUGGGAAGAACACCGGUGGCGAAGGCGGCUCACUGGCUCAUUUCUGACGCUCAAGCGCGACAGCGUGGGGAUCAAACAGGAUUAGAUACCCUGGUAGUCCACGCCGUAAACGAUGAUUGCUA
rnacentral:rRNA from 1 species